UUAUAUGAAUACUAACCCUUUUUUGUACUAUACCGAUACACUAAGUCGAAUUUUUAACGUGCUAGUUCACAAGGUAACCCUCCGCAGGCAGACAUGUCAUCUUACCCUUAACCAUGCUGAGGUAAUUAAAAAAAGGGGGGGAACCAUACAUACAUUACCAUUUAUCUGACCUAUACAUUUCUAGGAAUACGAUUGUUUAAAAGCGUCCGCGUGGAGACCGUGUAUAUUUCAUAUUAGGUUAGUAGGGAGGCGGGGCUUAUUUCAUAUACAGUUAGUAGUGGUGUUACAUCCCAUAUUAAGUAAGAAGGGAGGCGGGGCUUAUUUCAUACACGGUUAGUAGUGGUGUUACUUCCCUUUAUAUUCCAUAUUAGAUAAGAAGAGAGGCGGGGCUUAUUUCAUACACGGUUAGUAGUGGUGUUGCGUCCCUUUAUAAAAACAAAACGGUACUGAGAAAAAAUCUUAAAGGUUUCAACAGACGAAGAAAUUAAUGAUUUAGAUGGAAACACAUUUAAACCUAACAAGUUGUUAUUGUUGGCAUCUGUUUUUGUAGGAUCAA
rnacentral:lncRNA from 1 species